UAGCGGCAACAAAUUGGAACGAUUCCAGCAUGUCUACCACGCGCUCUUCUUCUUCCUCUCAACGUGUAGCCACAACACAACAAACCCUCCCCGUUUUUCUCUUCUUCUUCUUUGACGCGUACCAAGCACGUGAGCAGCGAAGGCGGGUGCGACAGAAGGGCAACCAGAUUACUACGCUAUCUUCUGUUGUUUUCCUUCCUCCCAUUACUGUCCCAGCAGUACUUAUCCAGUGACAAAGCACGUGGGCUUGUCAAUAUUGAGCCGCGUAGCGCGAGAAGGACGACAUUUUGAUCUGGAACAUCAUUCUCCCUUGCCUCUUUAGGAAAUAGGUCAAAAGCUUCAAAAAGGUGGUUUCUCUGGAAAGGGCAAAGAAUUCAAAUUUGAAUUCAAAAUGGGCCUGGAACCCAUUUCACAUCCGAAUUUCCCCAAAAUUUGUAACCCUACAGUUCUCCUAUUUAAGGUCUCUUUUGUUCUUCCUAAUGGGGGGAGUUUUUUUUUUUUUAAGUCGAAAUUUUGGAAGAAACACAUCGAGAGCAACUUCAAGAAAAGUCUAACCAAAGGAAAAUAUACAAAAAACAUUUCAAGGUAGAGUGUAUUUUAGUUUUGAGCGAAGCAUCACUUUUUCUAUCGGUUUGCGUCGGUUUCCUUGAGUUUCGCGGAGAUUUGAGUUUCGAUGUUGGAAGUUCGUGGUCUUGCUCAUGUUGCCUAGUUCUCUGCCAUCGAAAAGGUUUCAGAGGUUGAAGAAUUCACUUUUGGGACGGAGUUUCUGUCACACCCCUUUUUCGUGCAGCGGCGUAAGGGUUUUUUCAAUUUAAGUGACGUUAUUAAUUAAGGGAUUAUUGUAAUUUUUCAGAGUUGCCACUUGGAAUUGAGUUACGGUGUUUCCAGUCACUUUUUUUGUUUAACCCCUAAUUAAAAGGAAAUGACUUUUUGUUUGGUCUGCGAACCAGAAAUUCGGGUAAGGAAUUCUGUUGACCGAAAGGAAGGUAUUAGGCACCCCUCGAUCACGUGGUUCUAGCAUGGUCGCUUUAUUGACUUUUGUAUGGCUUGACUUAAUUUUGAAUAUAUUAUGUUUAUUACCUAACAAUUUACUUA